AAUAAACCUGAAUUUUACUAACUUAAUAUUUAUUACUUGCAGCUAUAAUGCCGGCCUACAAAUAAACACUUAAUUGCCUGUUUUAGUAUAAUAAGAUUUUCAAAACAUCCCUGAAAUAAAGGUUGAAUUAGAUCACCCUUGGAUACAUGUGAUAAAUAGAUAUAAUUUUAGAGCAUUCUUAUUAAAUAUAACAUUUUAUAUUUCAAAGUAAUAAAGUAUUACAAAUAUUUAAUCUGUAGUUUUUAGGUAUAUGAAGUCAUAUUUGGAAAAAGAUGAUCAUAGAUCUAAUACUGAUUAGGAACUAUUCUUAAUGAAUAUCCAUUUAGGAGGAGAAAUUCAUGCCAGAUCUUCUAAUAAGUGUUUUUCUACCUUGAGGACUACAUGCAUACAGUUCAUUAAAAGGAAACCAAAUUUUUCAUUUAUAGCAAUCUUAGUUAAUAUAUAGAUGCACUCUGACUUCAUAAUACAAUGAAUGUGAUUAUAGCCACUACAAUAAUUCUGAUUGUUCGUAGUCUUUAACUCUCCACUCCAUAGUAAUAUUAGAGUGUCAAAACUAUUCUUCUUUAUAUUUAUUGUGAUUUAUAAGACUAUUAUCUCUUUGCAUCUGGGAUUAUAAACUUCUGGAAAGGAAAAAAUGUGUCUUCUUAAGAAGAAAAUGAAGUAUUCCACUAAUGAAAACAGGCAUUAAUUUUCCUCCUUGAGGAACUAUGUCAAAAUAAGUAAAUUGCAUAAAGACUGUGUUUGGCAGGUGAGAGAUCUCCAAGAAAAGACAAAACAUCACUUUUGCAAUACAGAAAUUAGGCCAAUUAUUUGUUCUAGUCAACAGAGCAGUGACUUUUCGGAGUCCUGAAAAUUGUUUUGUCCUUCCAUCUAUAUUUGAAUUAAUCCUAGCACAAGCUAGUACAACCAGGCAGAAGAAGGAGACACUCGGGAGAGUCCCGAGUGUGCAUGGUGUGCUCCCUCAUCAUUAUUUCAUUGCAGAACAAGAGAUAUCAUAGGUUCUGAUAAGGGACACAAAUUUUUAAAGAGCAGUUAAAUGAAUCUUGAAAAAGCAGGAAGACAUGACCUUUCAUCUUUCAUUCUGGGGGCCUUUUCCUAAUGCAAAGAAGAAAAACGGAAAGAGAACUGAGACUUAAACCACAACACCCAGACAAAAAGAACACUGCCUGACAAAACCACCACCCUAGGAAUUAAAACCUACCAUCAGUUUGGUUAUGGGUGCAAACACAGGAAUGAAAAUAGUUGCAACCAAGUGAAAUAAUGGAGGUAAAUAAGUGACAAAAUGACUACAUCCUACAUUUCAAAAGGUCAUCAAUAUCUAUCUGGAUGUUUUGCAUGAUGCAUGCAUUGGCAGGUAUGUCAGAAUUGCUGCAAGGUGGGGACUUUGAGCCAUGUGUCUCAUUGUGCUGCUUAAAUUUUCAUUGUCAUUGUACUCAUUACUCAAUCAGGUCAUCCCUGACUAGAGACUGCAGGCGAUGUAAAGAGGUAAGGUACAGAAUGCAUUGACAGAAGCUCUCCUGAAUAACAAAUCUCAAAGAAAAUUGAUCCCAGGCUUGGAAGACUUACACUCUAAAAUUAAUGGAUAAGGUGGAUAUCUACUAUUCCCAAUACAUAUCCCUAUAUGUAUUCAGUGGAGGCAGAUAGUUAUGUAUAUAUGGUGACUUGUUUGGGCCCAGGUAUGAAAAUGUGUUGUGUUCAUUCAUAAUGAUUUUUUUCUCAUUUCUAACAAGGCUAAUAUAAACCUAAUCCCAUUAGAAGAAUUCCUGGGGAUGUUGAACAAAGAUACGCUCCAUGAAAGACUAAAAAGCAUACAGCUAUUUGUAUUAAUAACAACAAAUCCUCAUUGUGAAUUUAUUCUAUGCCAUAUUAUUUAACCCUCACAACAUUAAACUGGAAUGUUUUUGUCCUCACUUUCCAAGUAAAGAAACUCAGAGUACACAAUGCCUAUGAUCAAAUGACUAGUUAAUGAUGAACCUAGGAUUUAACUUAGCACAUCAAAACCAGAGUUAACUGUGUUAACUGUGUUAACUGUAUCCUAAGCUACCUCUAGUUUUUUCUAAAGAGUUAGUUGCURUUUCAAGAUGCUAUAAAAGAGCCUGUUUUGUUGCUGUUGUUUUGUUUUGUUUUAUGUUGCUCUUGAAUGAAGUAAAGCUGUUCUUGUGUUGCCCUGCACAGUCCUGUGUAGCCAGAAGAGGGGGUGAUGACAGACCCCACAUCCCAGCAAGUUCAGUUUUUCUUUAUCCUGCACCUGUUGCUGACAACUUGGGUGUUCUCUUUUAUAGAACAAGGCUGAAAUCUUAGGAACUUAGAAGUGCUCCUAGUCACUUUUUCUCAGCUUCCUAUAAAAUGUUGUAAACAGAAAUGGAUAUUUUAAACAUACUGUUAAAUGUAAUGAAACAUUGAAUUUUAAGAUAUUUUGUUUUUACUUAAUUAAACACACCCACAUAUCAAACAUGAUCUUCAAGUUUUGCCAUCAGGUUAAUAUUCUAAUAAGAGUAUGAAAUCUCAAUUUUGAUUACAAAUAAAUAACAUAAUUUAAACCAGAAAUCCCAAUCUAUAUUGUUUGUGGUAAUAUGCAAUGCCACAUAUAUAACAUAGAUUGAUCUUUAACUAGUUUGAGAAAAAGAACUAGGAAAAAAACACAUACAAUUUCUAAUUAGGAAAAAAAUGAGGGAAAACAUUAAGUUGUUUCUAAGCUUGCUUUAUAUAAUUUAAGUUUGUUUACUUUGGCCGUUCAAUAGAAAAAUGAAUUUCUAAUAUAACUUUGAUGUGCACGAAUUUUAAUAUUCACCCAUUUGCAGUAUAAUUAUAACCUUAGGAGCAAAUAAAAAAUGAUUUAAGUCUAUCACUAGGUAACAGUAUCACAUUUCAUCUUUCCUAUAUCUCGACUAUAAAUGAAGGAAACAGGCAGAACAGAGUAAGACAAUAUUAAAGGGCAUUUUGUAGCUCUCCACAAUAACAUUUUUAAUUAUAGAAAACUGAAUAAUGUCUCUGCAGAGCAAAAUGCAGUUUGCAAAGGAAGAGAUAUGUUCACCUACAAAUAGUGAAUAACAGUUUUCGUUUUAAGAUAAAGUAAUCUUUGCAAGACAAGGAGACCACAAAGUGACAGUGCCAAAUUUAGCUCUUGACAUUUCAGUGCUGCAAAUGAACCCCCUGGCAAGUUGUCUUUAGUAGUCAUUCCAUAAUUAYGCAGUAUUAAGCACCAUCUGACUCAUGGAAAUUGUGGAAAGGAUUAUAUUUAGUCUGCUGAUACUACACUUUCUUCUGUUUCUCUUUAGACCGAAAUACUUUUUGUAUGAAAAUAGGAUCUUCUACAGUUUGUUUCUACAUCAACUCUUACAGGUUGUUUUUUACCCCUAAAACAGAAUUUGGAGGGUCAAAAAUUGCAGUAUAAAAGUAACAAUAGCUUCAGUUGCACUAUUUAAAUUGUGUAGAUGAUAAAUCCUGGUCAGAGAAGAAAAGUUUGACCUAAAGGCAAAACCACAUCCAAUCAAUUUACUUCGGUUGUAGGGAGUGAGUUGCUUUUUACCUUUCAAGGUGCCCAGUGGCAUGUUGUAUCCUGUUUACAAAAAUCUAGCUGACUUGAACAUAGUACCUGGAAAUUAUAUUUAGCUUAACUUUAUAUGUUUUAAAAGAACAUUAUCUAUUGAAUUUGUAGGCACCCUUCUCUUUUCCAUGGGAAAAAAAAGUGAAUUGAGGUAGAUUAUACUGACAAAAGAAUAGAAAAUUUGUAAUAUUAUAGAUGCAUAYUGAUAUUAUGUAUUGAAGAAAAUCAUGCAAAUUGAUAUUAUAUAUUUAAGAAAAAUAACACAGAGAAGUGUAGAUAUAUAACCAAAACAUAAUUUGUCUGUUAUGAGAGCCAGAAAAAUUCUCAGACUAGUUCUCUUUUCAACCCAUCAAAAGACUUGAGGUCUUUAGAAUAUAUUAUUAGUGCUAAUAAUAAUAUAUCGCUGUUGUCACAAAAGGAGCUUUCAUUCUAGGCAAGGAGGAGAAAGCAGAUACUUAACAAUUUCUUAAAACACACAAAGAAAGAUUUUUCCUGAUGUUCACAUUUUAAUAAUAAAAAGGUGAAGGAACAAAAACAGAAUUUGAAUUUUUAAGACAUUGCAUGCAAACAAAAUAUACAACAGGGGAAAAGUGCAACUUGCAAGUAAUCUUUAAUUUCUUACCAAUUUUUAGCCAUGAGAAAGAUGAAGAGAAAACUAAAAGGUGGCUUGGAUGCAUUUUUAAGUCUUUAUGAAGAUUCACCCGUGUUUCUGUUCUUAUAGGUCUGAAUUGUGUUAUUUUAACAAGUCAGCCUUUGCUCUUAGGUGACAGAAUUCGGUUGACCGGUUUAAGUCUGCAGAGCACAGAAUUAUGCAUUCUGUCUCAAUUCAGACCAAUUUAUACAGUCUAACUACCUGACUCUCCUGUACUAGAGAACCUGGACUGGUAAUAUAAUUGCAUCACUCUUAAUUUCCCCUCUUUCUACUAUAUUUCUAGUAACCAGCCUACAUAUAUCCAUUGUUGAAAUUUUUUUUAAAAAAAGGAAAACAUUUUUUCCUUUGAUUUAAGUGUGUUAUUCUGAAGCUUAAAAUUCCAAGAGUUACAAAAUAUUACUUCCAGAGACCUUCUAUGGUGGGUUCUAGAAAUCCUGUAAAAUUGGGUUAAGUUUUUUCUAAGGGGGUAUAUGUAUCCAGGUCUUUGGUCCCUCUGCCAGGCAUUAAAUCAGAGAAUGUGCAGCAAUGUUCUCUUGACUGAAAACUGGCUCUCGUUAGUCAGCUUCUCAAUCUUACCUUUCAUCAGUCUCCAUUAUCCCCCAAGGGACAACGAUGUUCUUUGAAGAUUGUGGUCCCAGCUCCUUCCUAAGAAAUUUGCUCCUAGUAUGCAACAUCAUAUACUACUAGUAAAGAUGUAAUUAUCUUUAAUUAUAGCUCUUCUUCUUUUACUGUAAUAAAAUUUAACAUAUAUCAAUUCCAUAGACUGUUUAACUGAAUAUUAAUAUUUUCCUUAUAAAGCAA